CCGAGCACAUCUCUCCGGUUGCGUUUAUGGCGGAGCCUUCAGCGCGGCGAGAUGACGACGAGUGGCACGAUUUUAACGCAUUCAAGAGCGGAACGGGACGAAAUACUCAUGUGGAGCGGGUUCGAGUGAACGCUGAAGACAUGUCGCUGCUGCUGGAUGGGGUUUCUGUCACAGAGCUCGCGUUUGAGACGAGCCCUUACACAGAGGACAUGAUCACACACUUCGACGAGAAGUUACAAUUAUGCUUCCAAAAUGUAAACCCUAAACCGGACGCAAUAAACCAAAUGACGCCGAUAAAUGAGGAUACGACCCUGAAAUGCGAUGAGAUCUGGGAGGCUCUCACGGAUAACUAUGGCAGUGUGAUGCCGGUGGACUGGAGUCAGUCUAAAGCUCGCUCACUUCACCUCUCAGCGCUGAGCAUUGAGGACAGACCGCGGAUGGAGAGUGUGAACCUGGACCUGUCUGAUGAUGAGGACCUGAGGGAGCAGAUGGACAUGCACUCCAUCAUUGUGUCCUGCAUCAACGAGGAGCCGCUGCUCACUGCUGAACAGGUGAUUGAGGAGCUAGAGGAGCUCAUGCAGGACUCCCCAGAGAUGGAAUCAGCGCGGAUCGCUCCACACUCAGAGCUCUCGCUCAUCUCUCAGAAGACGCAGAGGUCUCACAGCAGCCAGAUCUCCGAGGAGCGAGUGAGGCUGAUGUCUGCGCUGGAGCUGAACGACGAGCUGGAGGACGUGGAGACGGCCAUACGCAGCUAUUCAGAGGAGCUCAUCCAGCAGCUGGCCAUCAGAGAUGAGCUGGAGUUUGAGAAGGAGGUGAAGAACAGCUUCAUCGCGGUUCUCAUAGACGUACAGAACCGGCAGAAGGUCCACCGAGAGAUGCUGAAAAAGAAGAGGAAAGUGAAGAGCGCGUCUGCAUCAGAGAGGCUGCCGUCUUCUUAUGUAACAACAGUCAUCCCUUACGAGAGAAAAGACGGACCACCGUCACUCCAAGACCUUCAGAUUUUUACCAAAAUUUUAGAAGCCAUGAGAGAUGACAGCGAUAAAGUCCCAAGCCUCCUCACAGACUACAUCCUCAAAGAGAGAGACUCGUCUCUGCAGCGUCCCUGGAGGGAAUUACUCACUGUGUUCCUCAGAUUUCUCACUGCAUGAUGUGUUCGACUUCAGCUGCAGGACUCUGAGUUCUUCUGUACUGAUGUGAUGUUGUGUGUUUGAAUCUAUGCACGGAACUGACCGGCCAUCCGGCCUGAGUGAAACAGACAGAUCGGAGCGUAUCUUCAUGACUUGAGACACAUUGAGCCUUAAACAAAUUAAUAAAUCUACAUGCUGGUGAGAUUGUGUUACCGUGCCAGUGUUUGAAUGUACGAUCUGCUUGUGUGUCUGUUAAAUGAAUCGUUCACCCAGGACUCAGGCUAUCCAAGAUGUAUAUGAGUUUGUU